UACGUAGGGCGCAAGCGUUGUCCGGAAUUAUUGGGCGUAAAGAGCUCGUAGGCGGCCUGUUGCGUCCGCUGUGAAAUCCCGGGGCUCAACCCCGGGCCUGCAGUGGAUACGGGCUGGCUAGAGGCAGGCAGGGGAGACUGGAAUUCCUGGUGUAGCGGUGAAAUGCGCAGAUAUCAGGAGGAACACCGGUGGCGAAGGCGGGUCUCUGGGCCGUAACUGACGCUGAGGAGCGAAAGCGUGGGGAGCGAACAGG
rnacentral:rRNA from 1 species